UCACUAAUGAACCGGAGAUGCACCAUUUCCUGUGUAAUGUCAUGAAAAAGCAUUUCUACAAAAAAAGAAGAGCAUUUGUUACAUUCAGUUGCUAGAUCCAAACCAUCAACCUCACUGCUAUGGAAAGUUCAAAGAGGGAUUCACAUUUUUAGCCAAAUAUGGAAAGCCUUUGGCAUUGGUGAAAAGAGAAAAUGCAACUUAACCGGUAAAGUGAACACAUGUUCACUUGGAAAUAAUGGAAAAUUUAGGAAUGACAUAUGGAAAGCCGAGUGGAAAUAAACACAGCCUAAAGUUAAAGUAACCAGGGCAAGGAAAAGGGACUCCUUUGGGAAGAACAGCUGAUUUAACAUUUUAAAACAAUGCACAGAGGAGAACUGAAGAAAGUCCUAAGAAAAAACAUAAACCAUAAGGACAGCUCUGGAACUGAAUCAUUGAAUUUGCUAAUAUUUUUCUGCAUCAAAGCAAAAUCACUGUAUGAAAAGAUGCUCAUCUAAUGGAAGCAUGAAGGCAAACACCAAAGGAUGAAGAUCUGCCUAAUGAUGAUGUAAAUUCUUGCCCUUGAAUCAAAG